UACGUAGGGUGCGAGCGUUGUCCGGAAUUAUUGGGCGUAAAGAGCUCGUAGGCGGUGUGUCACGUCGGCCGUGAAAACCUGGGGCUUAACUCUGGGCGUGCGGUCGAUACGGGCAUCACUAGAGUUCGGCAGGGGAGACUGGAAUUCCUGGUGUAGCGGUGAAAUGCGUAGAUAUCUGGAGGAACACCGGUGGCGAAGGCGGCAUCCUGGACCGGCAUUGACGCUGAGGCGCGAAAGCCAGGGGAGCAAACGGG
rnacentral:rRNA from 1 species